CAGUAGCCGCGGUAACACGAAGGGGGCUAGCGUUGCUCGGAAUCACUGGGCGUAAAGGGCGCGUAGGCGGACAGUUCAGUCGGGGGUGAAAGCCCGGGGCUCAACCUCGGAAUUGCCUUCGAUACUGGCUGUCUUGAGUAUGAGAGAGGUGUGUGGAACUCCGAGUGUAGAGGUGAAAUUCGUAGAUAUUCGGAAGAACACCAGUGGCGAAGGCGACACACUGGCUCAUUACUGACGCUGAGGCGCGAAAGCGUGGGGAGCAAACAGGAUUAGAUACCCCCGUAGUCCCUGUCUCUUAUAC
rnacentral:rRNA from 1 species